CCUACGGGAGGCAGCAGUGAGGAAUAUUGGUCAAUGGGCGGGAGCCUGAACCAGCCAAGCCGCGUGAGGGAUGAAGGUACAGCGUAUCGUAAACCUCUUUUGUCAGGGAACAAACGCGGGGACUAGUCCCCGGAUGAGGGUACCUGAAGAAAAAGCAUCGGCGAACUCCGUGCCAGCAGCCGCGGUAAUACGGAGGAUGCGAGCGUUAUCCGGAUUUAUUGGGUUUAAAGGGUGCGCAGGCGGUCGGGCAAGUCAGCGGUAAAAGAGGGGGGCUCAACCCCUGCCCGCCGUUGAAACGGGGUGUGUUGAGUGGGCGGGGAGUAAGCGGAAUGCGGGGUGUAGCGGGGAAAUGGAGAG
rnacentral:rRNA from 1 species